rnacentral:rRNA from 1 species
UGAGUAACGCGUGGGAACGUACCCUUUGGUUCGGGACAACUCCGGGAAACUGGAGCUAAUACCGGAUACGCCCCUUUGGGGAAAGAUUAAUUGCCGAAGGAUCGGCCCGCGUCUGAUUAGCUAGUUGGUGGGGUAAAGGCCUACCAAGGCUACGAUCUUUAGCUGGUCUGAGAGGAUGAUCAGCCACACUGGGGACUGGAGACGCGGCCCAGACUCCUACGGGAGGCAGCAGUGGGGAAUAUUGGACAAUGGGCGAAAGCCUGAUCCAGCAAUGCCGCGUGAGUGAUGAAGCCUUAGGGUUUAAAGCUGCUUUUACCCGGGAUUGAUAAUGACAGUACCGGGAGAAUAAGCUCCGGCUA